rnacentral:rRNA from 1 species
UCAAGUAAAGGAAGAGCACAAGGCGGAUGCCUUGGCAGCAUAAGGCGAUGAAGGACGUAAUAACCUGCGAUAAGCCUCGGGGAGCUGGUAAAUAAGCUUCGAUCCGAGGAUUUCCGAAUGGGAAAACCCAAUACACAUAAGUGUAUUAUCUUAUACUGAAUACAUAGGUAUAAGAGGCAAACCUAGGGAACUGAAACAUCUAAGUACCUAGAGGAAAAGAAAUCAACAGAGAUUCCGGUAGUAGCGGCGAGCGAAACCGGACCAGCCCUUAAGCUUAUUUUAGUCCAGCAAAAUAUUCUGGAAAGUUUAGCCAUAGUAGGUGAUAGCCCUGUAUGCGAAAGACUAAUUUAAGUGAAAUCGAGUAGGUCGGGACACGAGAAAUCUUGACUGAACAUGGGGGGACCAUCCUCCAAGGCUAAAUACUCUAUGCUGACCGAUAGUGAACCAGUACCGUGAGGGAAAGGCGAAAAGAACCCCGGCGAGGGGAGUGAAAUAGAACCUGAAACCUUGUGCUUACAAGCAGUCGGAGCAGACUUGUUCUGUGACGGCGUACCUUUUGUAUAAUGGGUCAACGACUUAAUUUCAGUAGCAAGCUUAACCAUUUAGGGUAGGCGUAGGGAAACCGAGUCUUAAUAGGGCGCUCAGUUGCUGGAAUUAGACCCGAAACCGGGUGAUCUAUCCAUGGCCAGUGUGAAGGUCGAGUAACAUCGACUGGAGGCGCGAACCCACUUAUGUUGAAAAAUGAGGGGAUGAGCUGUGGAUAGGAGUGAAAGGCUAAUCAAACCCGGAGAUAGCUGGUUCUCUUCGAAAACUAUUUAGGUAGUGCCUCGUGUAUUACUGUAGGGGGUAGAGCACUGUUUCGGCUAGGGGGUCAUCCCGACUUACCAAACCGAUGCAAACUCCGAAUACCUACAAGUAUGAGCACGGGAGACAGACUGCGGGUGCUAACGUCCGUAGUCGAGAGGGAAACAACCCAGACUGUCAGCUAAGGUCCCAAAUUAUGAUUAAGUGGGAAACAAUGUGGGAAGGCACAAACAGCUAGGAGGUUGGCUUAGAAGCAGCCAUCCUUUAAAGAAAGCGUAAUAGCUCACUAGUCGAGUCGGCCUGCGUGGAAGAUAUAACGGGGCUAAAUCAUAAACCGAAGCUACAGAUCUUAAAUUUAUUUAAGAUGGUAGAAGAGCGUUCUGUAAGCGGUUGAAGGUAAGCUGAGAGGCGAACUGGACGUAUCAGAAGUGCGAAUGUUGACAUGAGUAACGAUCAAAGAGGUGAAAAACCUCUUCGCCGAAAAACCAAGGGUUCCUGUCCAACGCUAAUCGAGGCAGGGUGAGGCGGCCCCUAAGGCGAGGGCGAAAGCCGUAGUCGAUGGGAAACAGGUUAAUAUUCCUGUACUUUUUAUAACUGCGAUGGGGUGACGGAGAAGGUUAGACUAGCACGGCGACGGUUGUCCGUGUUCAAGGUUGUAGGCUGGUGUUCUAGGUAAAUCCGGAACGCUAAGGCUGAGAACUGAUAACGACCACUCUACGAGUGGGAAGUAGUCGAUACCAUGCUUCCAGGAAAAACCUCUAAGCUUCAGGUUAUAAGAAACCGUACCCUAAACCGACACAGGUGGUUAGGUCGAGUAGACCAAGGUGUUUGAGAGAACUAUGGUGAAGGAACUAGGCAAAAUAGCACCGUAACUUCGGGAGAAGGUGCGCCGCGUUUGGUGAUGAGACUUGCUCUCUAAGCUGAACGUGGUCGAAGAUACCAGGUGGCUGCGACUGUUUACUAAAAACAUAGCACUCUGCAAACUCGUAAGAGGAAGUAUAGGGUGUGACGCCUGCCCGGUGCCGGAAGGUUAAUUGAUGGGGUUAGCUUAUGCGAAGCUCUUGAUCGAAGCCCCGGUAAACGGCGGCCGUAACUAUAACGGUCCUAAGGUAGCGAAAUUCCUUGUCGGGU